CGAAGUCGAGGUUUUUAAUCAUGAUAAUCACCGAGCCUGAGCAGAGCCUGAAAUAACGGCCGGCGGCCGGCGGGUUUCCGACCAAAUUCCGAUUUUUCCGACCAAAUGCUGAAAUGAUCGGAAAUUUUGUCCGGCCAAAUUUUGAGAAAAAUAAAAAUGUUUUCUUAAUGAUCGGGUCGGCGCUCAGCACAGUGAGUACCAUCUGUUAGUUUGGAUUAUCUAUAUUAGGCUAAUAUAAAGUAAUCAAGGAAACGUAUUGUUUUUAAUAUCUUCCAGCUUGUCGGGUCAAGAUAAAAACAGCGUCGGCGGGCGUGAUUAAAUUAUUAUUCACUAUAACUAUUCCAAUAAGCAAUUCAGAAUUAAACAUUUGUGUUUUAUUAUUGCAAGUAGAGUGAUUUACUCAGUGCACGUCUGCAUGCUUGACAGAGUUUGUUCAAACUAAACUAAAAAAAUUCCGGUCAAUUUUGCAAAUUUCCGGUCAAAUUUCGUUUUGAUCGGAAGUUUUUCCGGACAAAUUUUAAAAUUAUUUCAGGCUCUGUAUUCGAUGU